AUGGUUUUAAGGCCUUGCAGAUCUCAAACGGCUGAUGUUGGAAAAGUUAUAAAACCCACAUAAAGACUCUACUAUAUUUAAUAACGUCACAAUAUUAAAUUUUCAGUUCUGAUAAAUGUUCCAUAUUUAUGUAACAAGUCCAUGUAAGAAGAACUACGGAGAAAGAAUAUAUUAAGACAUCAAAGGCUCUACAAAAUCCUGCAGUAACUAAGGAUUUCUCAGAAAUAUAUAAUCACUCAUCUGUACUGGGAAGCCUAAUGGUCUACAGAACACUGCAAAAUACCAGAUGGUUCUGCAUGCCACUG